rnacentral:rRNA from 1 species
UACGAAGGGGGCUAGCGUUGCUCGGAAUCACUGGGCGUAAGGGUGCGUAGGCGGGUCUUUAAGUCAGGGGUGAAAUCCUGGAGCUCAACUCCAGAACUGCCUUUGAUACUGAAGAUCUUGAGUUCGGGAGAGGUGAGUGGAACUGCGAGUGUAGAGGUGAAAUUCGUAGAUAUUCGCAAGAACACCAGUGGCGAAGGCGGCUCACUGGCCCGAUACUGACGCUGAGGCGCGAAAGCCAGGGGAGCAAAGCGGG